CCAGACUCCUACGGGAGGCAGCAGUGAGGAAUAUUGGUCAAUGGUCGGGAGGCUGAACCAGCCAAGCCGCGUGAGGGAUGAAGGUACAGAGUAUCGUAAACCUCUUUUGUCAGGGAACAAAGGCGGGGACGUGUCCCCGGAUGAGUGUACCUGAAGAAAAAGCAUCGGCUAACUCCGUGCCAGCAGCCGCGGUAAUACGGAGGAUGCGAGCGUUAUCCGGAUUUAUUGGGUUUAAAGGGUGCGUAGGCGGAAUAUCAAGUCAGCGGUAAAAAUUCGGGGCUCAACCCCGUCGUGCCGUUGAAACUGGCAGUCUCGAGUUGGAGAGAAGUAUGCGGAAUGCGCGGUGUAGCGGUGAAAUGCAUAGAUAUCGCGCAGAACUCCGAUUGCGAAGGCAGCAUGCCGGCGCCACACUGACGCUGAGGCACGAAAGCGUGGGUAUCGAACAGGAUUAGAUACCCCCGUCAC
rnacentral:rRNA from 1 species